rnacentral:misc_RNA from 1 species
AAAGAGACCUAUCCAGCUUUUUCCACUCCUCCACUGGCUCUUAUUCUUGUUUCUCCUUGCAUGAUAUCAGUUCUCCCUAGGGAAAUAUAAAGAAAGUUUUCCCCCAAUGCAACUUAUGGUGGAUCCUUUUCAAAAAAUGGUUUCUCUUUCAUUUAUUCAGCCCUUUAUAGUUGAACUAGAAGGACAAACUAAGCCAUUAAGUCAAGCAGAAGAAGUUUUAAAUUAGCAAACGCACAAUGCUAAAGCCCAGAACCAUUUCUUACAAAAGAUAGAUUCAAAGAGUGAUUCAGUCGUCAACCAAACUUAG